UGUCCCCACAGGCUUGCCUCCAUGCCAGCCUGGUAAUGAAAGACCCCCGGAGAGGGGAGACCCCUCACUGAAGUCUCGGGAUGACACGACCCCCCAAGAACUCACGAGAGACU
rnacentral:pre_miRNA from 11 species